UUGGGUUGAAGGUAGCAAAGGAAGUGUGUGGGGCAGGUGUAUGCGGUUGGAGCCUAUAUGCAUUGUCUUCAUUCAGUCCUCGCAAAAGAAUCUCCUUCGUGUGCAAGUUCUUUACCUCAAAAUGCCAAGGGUAAAAUUCAAUAGAAACCUUGUUAGUUUGGCACAAUUGAGAAACAAAUAUCAAAUUUUGAGUAACAUUGGGAACAUAAAGGAUAUCAUAAAGCUUUAAAGAAGAACCAGUAGUGGAAAUAGUUGUUGAACUAGUAUGAGUAAUAGGAAGUUGAUUACCAUUUGCAACUUGAAGAUUAUUAGUUCCAUGGUAAUCUUUUUUAUGGACAAAUUGCUCAUGUCAUUGGUGAUGUGAUGGGAUGCACCAUAAUCAAAUAGCCAAGAGGGUGAAGAUGAGUGAGAGACCACUUGUUG
rnacentral:lncRNA from 1 species